rnacentral:sRNA from 1 species
GCCAGGCGCAGUGGCGCACGCCUGUAAUCUCAGUGUCUUGGAGGCUGAGGCAGGAGAAUCACGAGUUCAAAGCCAGCCUCAGCAAAGGCAAGGUGCUAAGCAACUCAGUGAGGCCCUGUCUCUA